rnacentral:rRNA from 1 species
CCCUUAGAUGUUCUGGGCUGCACGCGCGCUACACUGAUGCACUCAACGAGUUUACGACCUUACCCGAUAGGGUUGGGUAAUCUUUUUAAAAUGCAUCGUGAUGGGGAUAGAUUAUUGCAAUUAUUAAUCUUCAACGAGGAAUUCCUAGUAAGCGCGAGUCAUCAGCUCGUGCUGAUUACGUCCCUGCCCUUUGUACACACCGCCCGUCGCUCCUACCGAUUGAGUGCUCAGGUGAAUAAUUCGGACUGCAGCAAUGUUUGGAUCCCGAACGUUGCAGCGGAAAGUUUAGUGAACCUUAUCACUUAGAGGAAGGAGAAGUCGUAACA